AGAAACCUGCAGAAAUCAAGGCUGCUGCUUCCAGCACAAAGGAUGGGAAAACCCCUGUAGUGCAUGUGAACAAACAGCAAAGAAGCUGGAGUCAGUGAAGAGAACUAGCUGAAUUUAGCGUACCACAGAGCUGGAAAUCUAGUUGUUGGUAUUAGAAUAACAAUAUUUUAUUUGGUUUCUGGCCAUGGCCAGGAUUGAGAUGUCAUUGUUAUGGGCAUGUGUGACACAGAGCAGGAGAUGGGUCUCUGUUCUGAAGAGCUGAUCAGGCAAGAUGGGUAACGCAUGGGUAAGGAAAUGAAGGACAAGUGGCCUAAGGCCACACAACAAAUCAGAGGCAGAGUCUGACAGAAAAAUCCACUCUGCUUGCUCACAAGUCCGGGUUGCCCUAUGUGCAGGACAAGCUCAUUAUCUUUCCAAAAAAGAUGGAAUUAGAGAAAGGUUAGCAUUUUUUAAAAAUUGAAAUCAACUCUGUGGUAGAGUUGGAGGUGUGCAGUAGAAGGAGAAGUAUCCUAGAUAGCGGAGGGGGCUUGUAAUGGACAAAACAGAGAUACCAGAGUUUGUGCAGAGAACGGUCCAGGAGUUACCAGCUGCAACUCACCCACCUGCAUGUGGUCCCGCCUUACUGAUGCCAUGCAGAAAGAAUUAAUAGGUCUGCUUUUCUCCUAGAAAGUAAACACCCUCCAAGAAUAAGGCUUGGCUUGUCUGAUACGUUUCAGUCUCCACCUGCCAAGAGCACUAUCAGACAUGCAGUUCAUGGAUCUUUAAGCAACUGCAUGGGAUUACCUUCUGGCCCUUCAAUAAGCGAAAGAGCAUGUCAGGCCAAUUUCUGGGCUCGCAAGGGGGGACGUGGUUGGCAGGACCAGGUCUUAGUAUAAAAUAGGUUCUUAAAUGUUACACUUCAGGGCAAUUUCUAACCCCUUCUCCUUCCUCUCUCAAGUAGUCCUACUUUUAUGGGAAAACGCAGGACGCAUUUUUCAGAAGCUAUGACUAUCUACCCAUAAUCCUCAGCUGAGCAGUUUUCCUGACUCGGUGAUCUUUUCCUCUUGUAACUGUUGCAUCACUGGUCUUUGUGCUUUGCCCUUGCCAUCAUGCAAAGGCCUACCUUUUGAAUGGGCCCCAGAUGAAAAGGAGAGGCUAUGGAGCAGUGCAGUGAAUGUUCAAGGCCUAACAACAGCAAUUCGGUUUUCAGUUCCUGCUCAGUGCUGCUCUAAACCAGGACAGUUUUUAUGCAACACCUCAUGCAGAGCACAUCUGCACGGCUACCAGAAGAAAGGGAAAUAGCAAUCUGAUUCAAAUCAAACACUGUAUCGCAGAGCUGCUCAGUUCUGUGAUGAUGUUUCUACCUCUGAACCCAAAUUCCUUCAUACUAGAGCCCAUUCACAUUGCUCUGACAGGGCAAGUGGUUGUCUGCAUGGUCAUGCUUUAAGGUCAGUGCGAAUGAAAGUGUUGCAAUGUGCUCAGUUAGCAGUGGUAAUGUUUCAAAGCAGAGUUCUUAUUCUGGUUGCUGAAGAACGUCUUGUUUCUAAAAGCUACAUGUCAUGUGCAGGCUGUUUCAUAAAAUGCCAGCAUGCGUAGCUGAGUGUUGACAUACAAGAGAAAAAACUUCUUCACUGUGAGGGUGACAGAGCAUUGGAACAGGUUGCCCAGAGAGGUAGUGGAGUCUCCUUCGCUGGAGAUACUCAAAACCCGUCUGGAUGUGAUCCUGGGCAAUAUGCUCUAGGUGACCCUGCUUGAGCAGGGAGGUUGGACUAGAUGAUCUCCAGAGGUCCCUUCCAA
rnacentral:lncRNA from 1 species